rnacentral:tRNA from 1 species
AAACAAGAAGCAAAUCUGCACUCAGUUUCGACCUGACCAAUAGAUGUAUUUAAUCAUCCUUGUUUU